UCAACCGUUUUAAGUUACACGUUUGAGACAAGUAUUAGUAAUAUUAGUCUCAUAUCUAUAUAACUAUAUAAUACAUCUCCUUAGGACUUAGAUGUAAUUUUACCCUCUAAUUUUAAGACGUCAUAUGAAAGGUCAUUGCAUUUUUCGUGAGUUUCGUCCCAACCUUCCAAAUAUGCCCCCCCCCCCUUCACUUUUAGGUUUCAAUGAUUUUUUACAUUUAUUACAUGGCAGAUACAUCAAUCGUCGUUGUUCAAUGAACUAAUUUAACUCUUGCUUCUCCACCUUCCCUCCCAAAUCGUUUGUGCUUCCACACACGUAUACAAGAGGGAGUCUCUGCCUCUCUUCGUUUUCAAUUUGACCAAGAUUAGGUUUAGUUCUUCCCCAAAUACACAAACAAUCACUCAAUUAGAAACAAGAUUAUCAUGUAAAACACCAAUUUCUAUUAGUAGAUUCCUCUUAAUCGAUUCAAUUUCGCUUUUUUGUGGCCCAUGAACAUUUUAGGGUUUCCCGCACACUUGACAUAUUGAAAAGAACACACACAUAGAUUCUAAGGGGCAUGAGGUUUGGAAGUGGUGAAUUUUCGUGAAUUCAGGUGUGGAGGGUAAGUGAGAAUUGAGAAGAUGACGGAUGCUCGGUUACAAUGGUUACAGAGCCGGAGGGUACGACGGAUGCGUGUUCGGAAGAUGGUGAUUUUGAGAGGGGGUUGGAGGAGUUUUGCCAAUUAUCAGGUUUAAGUUUUGCUCUUCUAUUCCAGCUGAUCAUAUUUAAAGGAGGGUAAGAUCUGAUUUGGUUAUUACAUCAUUGUCGUCACCGGGGAGAGCUGAUUUGGAGAAUAAGCGUUGUUUUGGUGACAUAAGAAGGUUCAAUGGUUUAUAGAUUUAGGGAUUAUGCCUUACCUUCUUCUACAGUAGAUGAUUUUUGACGUGUAACCACCAAUUCCAGCAGAAGCAAAGGUGUUGAACUGAUUGGCGACGAAUCAGAUUCUGGUCAAGACUAGGGUACUUCGUGCCUCGCAAUAACUCCGGCUACGAGCUUGGGCGCAACAGAGGUGACAGAGACGUUAGGGUCUUCCUAUGGGAUAAAUGGUGGUGGCCAGCUUACGGCUAUAAGGGCGGUGACCGGUGGUUCGAUUUUGGUGAUUUAAAAUUAUGCCACAUGGAAUAUGUUGAUAAAACCAUGGAAGGAAGGCCGUUUGUACUACCGUAUCGAGGAAUGAUGUACUACUGAAAAGCUCUAAUGCUUCAAGCUUAUUUGGAAAGAAUGACUCUUGGAAGUUUUAGUUUUCUCCUUUCGAGGAUAGUUUUAUUAUUGCUAGGUGUACGCCUAAAAAACAUAAUCACCCACGGCAACGCACGGACAUUCCCAUUGGAGGUUGUCCAAAACUUACUAAGCUCAACAUCUGUGGCUGCUUGGCUUUUAGUGACGAUGGUCUCAAGUUCUGUAGUAGUUACUAUAUAAAGUUGAAAACUUUCAACCUUUGUGGGUGUGUGAAAGUAGCCACCGAUAAGGCUCUGAAGUUAUGGUAGAAUUACAAAUGUAUGUGGGAUGUAUUUGAUAUUUGGGGUCAUACUUAUAAACCGUCUUUGAGUUGUGCUUGUAGGCUAAUGGAUACAACUGUCGACGACAACUUGACUUUACCU